AAUGGUGGGUACUCAUAGGCUGGGUUCAUUGGGGCUGUUCUAUGAUUAAUUGUGGUGGGGAAUGGUAGGUACUCAUAAGCUGGGUUCAUUGGGCUGUUCUAUGAUUAAUUGUGGUGGGCAAUGGUGGGUACUCAUAGGCUGGGUUCAUUGGGGCUGUUCUAUGAUUAAUUGUGGUGGGGAAUGGUAGGUACUCAUAGGCUGGGUUCAUUGGGCUGUUCUAUGAUUAAUUGUGGUGGAGAAUGGUAGGUACUCAUAGGCUGGGUUCAUUGGGCUGUUCUAUGAUUAAUUGUGGUGGGGAAUGGUAGGUACUCAUAGGCUGGGUUCAUUGGGCUGUUCUAUGAUUAAUUGUGGUGGAGAAUGGUAGGUACUCAUAGGCUGGGUUCAUUGGGCUGUUCUAUGAUUAAUUGUGGUGGGGAAUGGUAGGUACUCAUAGGCUGGGUUCAUUGGGCUGUUCUAUGAUUAAUUGUGGUGGGGAAUGGUGGGUACUCAUAGGCUGGGUUCAUUGGGCUGUUCUAUGAUUAAUUGUGGUGGGGAAUGGUAGGUACUCAUAGGCUGGGUUCAUUGGGCUGUUCUAUGAUUAAUUGUGGUGGGGAAUGGUAGGUACUCAUAGGCUGGGUUCAUUUGGGCUGUUCUAUGAUUAAUUGUGGUGGGGAAUGGUAGGUACUCAUAGGCUGGGUUCAUUGGGCUGUUCUAUGAUUAAUUGUGGUGGGGAAUGGUAGGUACUCAUAGGCUGGGUUCAUUGGGCUGUUCUAUGAUUAAUUGUGGUGGGGAAUGGUAGGUACUCAUAGGCUGGGUUCAUUGGGGCUGUUCUAUGAUUAAUUGUGGUGGGGAAUGGUAGGUACUCAUAGGCUGGGUUCAUUGGGGCUGUUCUAUGAUUAAUUGUGGUGAGGAAUGGUAGGUACUCAUAGGCUGGGUUCAUUGGGCUGUUCUAUGAUUAAUUGUGGUGAGGAAUGGUAGGUACUCAUAGGCUGGGUUCAUUGGGCUGUUCUAUGAUUAAUUGUGGUGGGGAAUGGUAGGUACUCAUAGGCUGGGUUCAUUGGGCUGUUCUAUGAUUAAUUGUGGUGGGGAAUGGGAGGCACUCAAA